UCACUGGGCUUUUUAGCUCACCCCUCUCCCCUAACCCCAGUGUUGCAGGUUUGAGGUUGAUCGGGAAGUCUCAAGAGUAAAGGUUAUGCAUGUUGUAAUAGCUUAGAUUAUGUUUAUGUUUAGUAUGUUAGAGUGGACAUGUAUUAUAAAUUCAUGUAAGAUAAUGUAAUGUUAAGCAAAGUUGUGUCUAUGGAUUCGUUGUGCUUGGCCCUAAAGACUGGUUAGUC
rnacentral:lncRNA from 1 species